GGAAAGUGAAAAAGAUAACAUUUGUAUGCUCUGUGUUCAGGAAACCAGAAGGAACAUAUUUGGCUGAGACUGGAGUACAUGGAAAGAUAAGGCUGAAAAGAUAGGCAGGAACCAAGCCAGUUAUACCAAACUCCCACCACUUACUGGGCAGCCCAGAGCUGGAACCAUCCUGACUUUAUGGGGCUUCUUUUCGUGUCCCCUAAAAUGAGAUGUAUGAGUGUCUUCAGGGGAAAAUCUUGAGUAAGACUCCUAUCCAUUCCUUUGCUUCCCCUUCAGGAAAUCAUAAUUAAUAUCUACCCUCAAUUCUUCCUGCUGCAGGGUCAUUCUGUUGGCUGCCCCCAAAGCCAGGCUCCUGUCUUAUCUCUCCCUCCUACUGAAUACGUACUGCGUUCCUGCACUUUGUGGUGCUGGUGUGUGAGGCAGGUGCUUGGGAAAUAGUUGUUGCUAUUGCCCUACAGCCCAUGUCGGAGCUCAGCUUGGUGGGAAGGACCUGUCUGUCCUUAGCUCUGUGGAUGGCAGUGUGGACCCACAUUAACCCCAGUGACCCUGGCCCUACCUGCAGACUGAAGACUGACAGCACUCAAUUUCAAAUUGGCUCAAUCAAUCAUACACUCAAACAUAUACAAUCAUAGCCCAAAGCAUCCUUCCAGCCCUCAAGCGAGAAAAAGGCAAAGCAAAAACAUGCACAAACUCACUAGGAAUUGUAUAAAGCCAAGUAAAAACCAGAUGAAGUACCAUUUUUACACCCAACCAUCUGACAAUGCCAACGGUUGGCAAGGAUGAGGAGCGAGGAAACUCUCCUGUGCACCUGCGAAUAUAAAUCGGCCCAAACAUUUUAUAAAACAGUUUGGAAAUUUCUAGUAAAACUAAAGAUGCCUAUACCCUGGGACUCAGCAGUUCCACUCCCAGGUUCACACCUGCAAAGACCCUAGAAAAUGUGUACAAUAUCAUACCAGCACUGCUUGUAGUAAUAACAAAAAAUUGGAAAAGCCCUUUCAUAUCUACCAACAAGAAAAUGGAUAAAUUAUGGUAUAUUCAUACAUAUAAGUUGUACAUUCAUAUUACAUAUAAGAAGGCAUUUGUAAGUGGUGGAAAUUAGUUGACCUACACAUAACAAUAUGGAUGAAUCUUAAUGUUAGGUGAAAAAAGCAACUUGCAGAAUAUAUGCCCUCUAGAAGCACUUUUCUAAAGCUCAUAUAUGCAGAAUACCAGAACAUAGUGCCUAGGGCUACAUGAAUAUGUAAUAAAAGCAUAUAGAAAUGA